GCUGACGUUGGGGGCGGAGCCUGCAUUCAUAGGGAACACAAACACACACGCUUUCCUCUGAAACGGAAGUGAAAGUGAAAUCAGAGGGGUUUAAGCAGAGGGAAUCGAUUAAUCGCCUCCAGCUGUAAUGGCCGGGAAAAAGAGCAGAGCUGGUGAAAGUCAUCAGGACAGAUCCUAUAAAGAUGCUGCUGUCACUAAUUUACCCGCAGACUUUAAUAAGACUUCGCCUCAGAAUCUGAGACUUCAGCAGCUAAUUACGUCCCUGACAAAAGUUUUGGCGCAGCAACCGGAUGGGAUCAGCCUGAACGAAGCUCGCAGGUCCUGUCCUCUUCUCCUCGACCCCGAACUGCUGAAGGAUCAUCCGUCCGUCCGGCACCUGCUCCUCUCCAUGCCAGCGGUCGUGCAUCUGCAAGGGUUUGGUGCUCAAACACGCCUCUUUCCUGCUCUCAGAAAAAAUAGCUGAUGGAAGAUUUAACCCCUUUUAUGCCAAUGAUUUUACAUCAAAUCCUCACUAGGAGUGUCAUCAGGAGGUAAUAUAGGACUAUGUAAGUAUUAAAACACUCCCUGACGUGCUGUUAUAGGAAAAUAAUCAACGACAUGGAGGUGUGAUGAAGUGGAGUUACUGCUAUCAUGCUGAAGUUGAUUAUUUUCCUAUAACAGCAUGUCUCCAAGUGUUUUAUUCCUCUUAUACUAGAGCCAAUUAGCAACAGCGACAAUUUUUUAUUUAGUAACAAACAACGUCAUACUUUUUUUAUCCAUUUAUAGUUACACUUAAUGCUGUGGAAGGUCUGUGAAACACGUUUUUCGAGACUUAAACGUUGUAAGUGUACCAGGAGAUACUUUUCAGUGAACUUAUGGGAAUGGUUAAACUGCUAAUUCUGAUAUUUUCGAUGGAAAUGAGAUGAAUACUCAUCUCCGCUAGCUCACAUUCAUCAUUUUAGAAGGAGAAGAUCUUCAUGGAGAUGAAUCCUAUUUCAGUACUGACUAUAACAUAACCUCACUGCUCUUCUACAUGAACUCCUCAAAGUUUGGAUUGGGAUGUUGAAGCUUUUCUUGUAUUUUGAUAAAGGAGAAAAAAACUUACUGCAGAUUUGUAGACAAACACUACUCAUUUACACACACAUCAAUAUUCAAGAUGUUUUCCCAAAGGUGUUGUACUGUAUAUUUAUUUAAUUUGUAUUUAUCUGUUUUCAGAUAUGAAUCCAAAUUAAAAUACUAAUAUAGA